UACAGGGGGGGCAAGCGUUGUUCGGAAUUACUGGGCGUAAAGGGCCAGUAGGCGGCCAACUAAGUCACACGUGAAAUCCCCAGGCUUAACCUGGGAACUGCGUGUGAUACUGGAUGGCUUGAAUUCGGGAGAGGGAUGCAGAAUUCCAGGUGUAGCGGUGAAAUGCGUAGAUAUCUGGAGGAAUACCGGUGGCGAAGGCGGCAUCCUGGACCGUAACUGACGCUGAGGCGCGAAAGCGUGGGGAGCAAACAGG
rnacentral:rRNA from 1 species